UACGGAAGGCAGCAGUGGGGAAUAUUGCACAAUGGGCGAAAGCCUGAUGCAGCUAUGCCGCGUGUAUGAAGAAGGCCUUAGGGUUGUAAAGUACUUUCAUCGGGGAGGAAAAACAAAACUAAUAAUUUUAUUUCUUGACGUUACCCGAAAAAGAAGCACCGGCUAACUCCGUGCCAGCAGCCGCGGUAAUACGGAGGGUGCUAGCGUUAAUCAGAAUUACUGGGCGUAAAGAGCACGUAGGUGGUUUUUUUAAGUCAGAUGUGAAAUCCCUGGGCUUUAACCUAGGAACUGCAUUUUGAAACUGAAAUACUAGAGUAUCGUAGAGGGAGGUAGAAUUCUAGGUGUAGCGGUGAAAUGCGUAGAUAUCUGGAGGAAUACCUGUGGCGAAAGCGGCCUCCUAAACGAAUACUGACACUGAGGUGCGAAAGCGUGGGGAGCAAACAGGGAUUAGAUACC
rnacentral:rRNA from 1 species